GACAGAGGAUGCAAGCGUUAUCCGGAAUGAUUGGGCGUAAAGCGUCUGUAGGUGGCUUUUAAGUCCGCCGUCAAAUCCCAGGGCUCAACCCUGGACAGGCGGUGGAAACUACCAAGCUGGAGUACGGUAGGGGCAGAGGGAAUUCCGGUGGAGCGGUGAAAUGCGUAGAUAUUCGCAAGAACACCAGUGGCGAAGGCGGCUCACUGGCCCGGAACUGGACGCUGAGGCACGAAAGGCGUGGGGAGCAAACAGG
rnacentral:rRNA from 1 species